rnacentral:ncRNA from 1 species
GGUCUGUGAUUGCCGCUGGAGAUGUCCUGGGCUGCACGCGCGCUAGGAAUGAAAGUAUCAACGUGUAUUUCCUAGACCGAGAGGUCCGGGUAAACCGCUGAACCACUUUCAUGCUUGGGAUUGUGAACUGAAACUGUUCACAUGAACUUGGAAUUCCCAGUAAGUGUGAGUCAUUAACUCGCAUUGAUUACGUCCCUGCCCUUUGUACACACCGCCCGUCGCUACUACCGAUUGAAUUAUUUAGUGAGGUCUCCGGACGUGAUCACUGUGACGCCUUGCGUGUUACGGUUGUUUCGCAAAAGUUGACCGAACUUGAUUAUUUAGAGGAAGUAAAAGUCGUAACAAGGUUUCCGUAGGUGAACCUGCGGAAGGAUCAUUA